rnacentral:rRNA from 1 species
GGCUCAGGAUGAACGCUAGCGGCAGGCUUAAUACAUGCAAGUCGAGGGGUAGCAUGAUUGUAGCAAUACAAUUGAUGACGACCGGCAAACGGGUGCGGAACACGUACACAACCUUCCUACAAGUGGGGAAUAGCCCAGAGAAAUUUGGAUUAAUGCUCCAUAGUAUUAUUAAACUGCAUGGUUUGAUAAUUAAAGCUCCGGCGGUUAUAGAUAGACAUGCGUCCCAUUAGCUAGUUGGUGAGGUAACGGCUCACCAAGGCGACGAUGGGUAGGGGGCCUGAGAGGGUGAACCCCCACACUGGUACUGAGACACGGACCAGACUCCUACGGGAGGCAGCAGUGAGGAAUAUUGGUCAAUGGAGGCAACUCUGAACCAGCCAUCCCGCGUGAAGGAUGAAUGCCCUAGUGGUUGUAAACUUCUUUUAUAUAGGAAUAACCGUAAGUACGUGUACUUACCUGAAGGUACUAUAUGAAUAAGCAUCGGCUAACUCCGUG